rnacentral:tRNA from 1 species
GGGUUUCAAGCGGAAUGGUAGACGCGGGGGACUUAAAAUCCUCUGGGGCAACCCGUGCGGGUUCGAGUCCCGCCCCG